GUGGGGGCCAGCCCCCUGCCUGCCUGUCUGUCUCUUUCCUGGGCCCCCAGGGCACUCAAGAGAGGGCUACAUGGCAGUGGCUACUGACGGGGUGGCAGGGAGUUGCCCUCUCUGCCAGGCAUCCUGUGUGGGCAGCCAGCAGCCGUUACUCAGCAGAGAGGGAAACAGAGACCCAGAGAGGUGAUUUGAGCUGCUCAAGGUCAGACAACAAGAAGCAGGAACUGAAGUGAGCUCACGAGUAUUCACUGCGGAGCCAGGACUGCUGGGCUCCUUGCUGACCUGCCACGGCCCUGCACUGCCCCAGCACUCAGGAAGCCCCAGCAUUCAGAGCUAGAACAGGCCCGGGGAAAGUCUCCCUCCACCUGUCACCCCUUCCGGUCGAGACCUUCUGCUGGAAGACUGAGAAUGAGCCCCUUCUCCAGGCGUGGGGGCUGAGCGCCCUGCAGGGCUCUGUGUGGACCGUCCUUAUACGUUUUCUCACUUUCCUCCACGACCCUUCCCAGCUGGUCCUUCCACAGUUGGGCCCCCUUUAAGGAACCAACGAGGUACAGAGCAGCCAGGCCCUGCACUAGCCCAGCUCAAAAGCAGAGGGCCCAUGACAACGGAUUGCACUCUGGAGCUUCAUGACCCACUGCAGCCUCUCCUGGAGGCACCAGGACCCUCUGGUCCCACAGCUCCAUCUGAAGUAAAGCCCUCCACAGGCUGACAACUUUCCACUGCUCUGGAGAAAAGGGACUGGAGAGUCCCUUGAGAAUCAAGACUCCCAGAGAGAAAAAAAUAGCACAUUAAGACUGGAACAGGACUGGUAGAGCUCUUCCUAGCAUGCUUCAGGCCCUGGGUUCAAUCAGCAGCAACGUGGAAAGAAAACUUGGGAUAGCAAAGGGUAUAAGGACUAGAAGACCCGAGUGUGCAUCCUACAUCUGCCAUUUCAAGCUGCAAGUUUGUUCUGUAGAUAAAAAAUAAAUGCCAG
ensembl:lncRNA